rnacentral:rRNA from 1 species
UGGGGAAUAUUGCACAAUGGGCGCAAGCCUGAUGCAGCCAUGCCGCGUGUAUGAAGAAGGCCUUCGGGUUGUAAAGUACUUUCAGCGGGGAGGAAGGCGAUAAGGUUAAUAACCUUGUCGAUUGACGUUACCCGCAGAAGAAGCACCGGCUAACUCCGUGCCAGCAGCCGCGGUAAUACGGAGGGUGCAAGCGUUAAUCGGAAUUACUGGGCGUAAAGCGCACGCAGGCGGUCUGUCAAGUCGGGUGUGAAAUCCCCGGGCUCAACCUGGGAACUGCAUUCGAAACUGGCAGGCUAGAGUCUUGUAGAGGGGGGUAGAAUUCCAGGUGUAGCGGUGAAAUGCGUAGAGAUCUGGAGGAAUACCGGUGGCGAAGGCGGCCCCCUGGACAAAGACUGACGCUCAGGUGCGAAAGCGUGGGGAGCAAACA